AAUAUUUUAAUUUUAAUUCAAAUUUAAAUUAAGAUUUUAAAUUAUUUUAAAAUAAAAAUUAAUAAAAAUAUUAAUUUAUGCAAACAUCAAAAAAAAUUUGCCAAACAGCUUUUCAAAAUUAUUUCAGAAAAAUCACUUUUAUCUAAACUCCGCCAAACACUCUACAGCUUCUAACCAAAAUCACUUCUCCAAAUCAAAAUCACUUUUUCAGAAAUCACUUU
rnacentral:lncRNA from 1 species